GGCUAAUGUAAAUGUUCUGAACAUGUUUAAGACAGGCUGGGCUAAGCUAUGAUGUUUGGUAGGUUAGGUGUAUUAAAUGCAUUUUUGACUUAACAAUAUUUUCAACUAAUGAUGGGUUUAUCAGGACAUAACCCCAUCGUAAGUCGAGAAAGAUCUGUAUUUAAAAUCUAAAAUUUGAA